rnacentral:rRNA from 1 species
UCAUCUCCGGGGGUAGAGCACUGUUUCGGCUAGGGGGCCAUCCCGGCUUACCAACCCGAUGCAAACUGCGAAUACCGGAGAAUGUUAUCACGGGAGACACACGGCGGGUGCUAACGUCCGUCGUGAAGAGGGAAACAACCCAGACCGCCAGCUAAGGUCCCAAAGUCAUGGUUAAGUGGGAAACGAUGUGGGAAGGCCCAGACAGCCAGGAUGUUGGCUUAGAAGCAGCCAUCAUUUAAAGAAAGCGUAAUAGCUCACUGGUCGAGUCGGCCUGCGCGGAAGAUGUAACGGGGCUAAACCAUGCACCGAAGCUGCGGCAGCGACACUGUGUGUUGUUGGGUAGGGGAGCGUUCUGUAAGCCUG